GUUGUUGCAGUGAUUAUAAAAAAUUCCUCGUACUGAUCUGCUAUAGCCAUAGCAUGACAGACACUUUACACCCAUAGAAUCUGAGCAACA